GCCCAGCUUGCUGGGUGGAUUAGUGGCGAACGGGUGAGUAACACGUGAGUAACCUGCCCCUGACUCUGGGAUAAGCGUUGGAAACGACGUCUAAUACUGGAUAUGAUCGCCGGCCGCAUGGUCUGGUGGUGGAAAGAUUUUUUGGUUGGGGAUGGACUCGCGGCCUAUCAGCUUGUUGGUGAGGUAAUGGCUCACCAAGGCGACGACGGGUAGCCGGCCUGAGAGGGUGACCGGCCACACUGGGACUGAGACACGGCCCAGACUCCUACGGGAGGCAGCAGUGGGGAAUAUUGCACAAUGGGCGAAAGCCUGAUGCAGCAACGCCGCGUGAGGGAUGACGGCCUUCGGGUUGUAAACCUCUUUUAGUAGGGAAGAAGCGCAAGUGACGGUACCUGCAGAAAAAGCACCGGCUAACUACGUGCCAGCAGCCGCGGUAAUACGUAGGGUGCAAGCGUUGUCCGGAAUUAUUGGGCGUAAAGAGCUCGUAGGCGGUUUGUCGCGUCUGCUGUGAAAUCCCGAGGCUCAACCUCGGGCUUGCAGUGGGUACGGGCAGACUAGAGUGCGGUAGGGGAGAUUGGAAUUCCUGGUGUAGCGGUGGAAUGCGCA
rnacentral:rRNA from 2 species